CCUACGGGAGGCAGCAGUGGGGGAUAUUGCACAAUGGGGGAAACCCUGAUGCAGCGACGCCGCGUGGGUGAAGAAGUAUUUCGGUAUGUAAAGCCCUAUCAGCAGGGAAGAAAGAAGACGGUACCUGACUAAGAAGCCCCGGCUAACUACGUGCCAGCAGCCGCGGUAAUACGUAGGGGGCGAGCGUUAUCCGGAUGCACUGGGUGUAACGGGAGCGUAGACGGCCGUGCAAGCCAGGAGUGAAAGCCCGGGGCUCAACCCCGGGACUGCGGUUGGAACUGUGCGGCUGGAGUGCGGGAGGGGCAGGCGGAAGUCCUGGUGUAGCGGUGAAAUGCGUAGAUAUCAGGAGGAACACCGGCGGCGAAGGCGGCCUGCUGGACCGUGACUGACGUUGAGGCUCGAAAGCGUGGGGAGCGAACAGGAUUAGAUACCCCAGUAGUC
rnacentral:rRNA from 1 species